GCCUCCUUAGCUCAUUUGGUAGAGCAACUGACUUGUAAUCAGUAGGUGAUCCGUUCGAUUCGGAUAGGAGGCUCCA
rnacentral:tRNA from 1 species